AUUCCCUGCAGCAUUAUAAAUAGCCAAGAUAUGGAAACGUUAAGUGUCAACUGAGAGAUGAACAGAUGAAGAAGCUGCAGCUUGUUAGAGAGUCACACAGUUACUAAGAGGCAACGAACUGACCCCAUGACUGACUCAACACCAGUAUUCAGGAGUGCCCCCUAGGUAACAGAUUUGAAGAUUCUUUUCUGGGAAAUUUGAUCAUCUGAAGAGAAAAGACCUGAAAAUACUACAAUUCAAAGUACACUAAGGAAGUGAAAUAGCCAAGCCAGAUCACUUUACUGAGAAGCUUCUCAUCGACAAAUCCCACACACAGCCCCAAGGCUUUCCAGCUUUCCACCAGUAAAUAUGCAGAGACAACCAAGAAUCAUCCACGUGACAUCUGAGGA